UACGGAGGGGGUUAGCGUUGUUCGGAAUUACUGGGCGUAAAGCGCACGUAGGCGGAUCAGAAAGUUGGGGGUGAAAUCCCGGGGCUCAACCCCGGAACUGCCUCCAAAACUCCUGGUCUUGAGUUCGAGAGAGGUGAGUGGAAUUCCGAGUGUAGAGGUGAAAUUCGUAGAUAUUCGGAGGAACACCAGUGGCGAAAGGCGGCCUCACUGGCUCGAUACUGACGCUGAGGUGACGAAAAGUGUGGGGAGCAAAACAGGAUUAGAUACCCCGUAGUC
rnacentral:rRNA from 1 species